UAUCAAGGAAAUGAACAAACCUCAGUUGUUCAUUUACCAAAGUGAUUGCUUUUGCUUCAGGGGCUGUCAGCAACAGGGCCAGUUUCUCUGAGCAGCUGGCAGCUACACUGACUCUCCAGUUUGGAUGUGUGGUUGGAGACUUCCAGUAUAGGGGCUGCUGCCAUGACCCAGUGUUUGGAGCGGCACCAAUGGAACUGCCUGGGAACAGCCUAGAACAGGGUCAACAGUCAUAAGCUCCCUCCGCUCAGCCACCAGCCCCAGAGCCAGCAGUUUAUCCACUAUUCGGGCCCGGGAGCGUUUGGCUGUGAUAUUCUUCAUGAUAUGACCCAGGACAUCUACGAAGAAGGAGACUGUAAACUCCCAAGAGCAAUAGAGAAAACAGAAGUAAAGGAAAUCAGAGGACAGAGGCUGGCGUAAUUCACUCACGAGUGACAGCACAAAUACACUACGAAAGGGAAAAAACGGUUACGUCAACUCAUCAGUCAGCUCUUCCAGCUUAUACUCUGUGACCGUGCCACGCACCCCUACUGCCCAUGCUCGAGCUCACCCGCCGU